AUCACUUUAAAUUGGGUCGUGGUCAUCAGAAAUGAGAGGUGGGGCAGCGAGUAAGAUGGGGAGGAGCGGCCCCGAAAAGUAGAGGUGACGAGAAGAGGUACGCAAAUGGCACCAGUUGAACCGACCUUGUCCGAC
ensembl:ncRNA Y15E3A.9 ncRNA